rnacentral:rRNA from 1 species
UACGAAGGGGGCUAGUGUUGUUCGGAAUUACUGGGCGUAAAGGGCGCGUAGGCGGUGUGUCAAGUCAGGCGUGAAAGCCCCGGGCUCAACCUGGGAACCGCAUUUGUGACUGCAUAGCUGGAGUACGGCAGAGGGGGAUGGAAUUCCGCGUGUAGCAGUGAAAUGCGUAGAUAUGCGGAGGAACACCGAUGGCGAAGGCAGUCCCCUGGGCCUGUACUGACGCUCAUGCACGAAAGCGUGGGGAGCAAACAGG